rnacentral:rRNA from 1 species
UAGAGUUUGAUCCUGGCUCAGGAUGAACGCUGGCGGUCUGCUUAACACAUGCAAGUCGAACGCAACCUUCGGGUUGAGUGGCGGACGGGUGAGUAACGCGUGAGAAUCUGCCUUGGGGUCGGGGACAACCACUGGAAACGGUGGCUAAUACCGGAUAAGCCUUUGGGUAAAAAAUUUAUUGCCCCAAGAGGAGCUCGCGUCUGAUUAGCUAGUUGGUGAGGUAAAAGCUCACCAAGGCAGCGAUCAGUAGCUGGUCUGAGAGGACGAUCAGCCACACUGGGACUGAGACACGGCCCAGACUCCUACGGGAGGCAGCAGUGGGGAAUUUUCCGCAAUGGGCGAAAGCCUGACGGAGCAAGACCGCGUGAGGGAGGAAGGCUCUUGGGUUGUAAACCUCUUUUCUCAGGGAAGAAGCUCUGACGGUACCUGAGGAAUCAGCCUCGGCUAACUCCGUGCCAGCAGCCGCGGUAAUACGGAGGAGGCAAGCGUUAUCCGGAAUUAUUGGGCGUAAAGCGUCCGCAGGUGGCGAUUCAAGUCUGCUGUCAAAGCACGGGGCUUAACUCCGUUAAGCAGUGAGACUGAAUAGCUAGAGU